rnacentral:rRNA from 1 species
CCUCUGGCCCAAAUCACCCUGAAUACGAGCCCGAUCUUGUCAGAUCUCAGAAGCAAAGCAAGGUUGAAGCUUGAUAGUGCUUGGAUGGGCGACCACCAAAACUGAAUGAGUGACCACGGGU